GCGCGGCGGCGAGCAGGAAGGAGGCGGGCGGGCGCGGAGCUGCAGGCCGUGCGGGUCCUGCUGGGCUGCCCCUGUGGCCGGGACCAUGGCCCUCAGCAGGAGGGAAGUGUUCAUAGGGAAAGUACUGAAACGACUCUAUGCUGAAACUUCAUCGUCUUCACUUGUGCAUACUUCGAGUAGAGAAGAAGAGGCAGUUCUCAGAAAUCUGGACUCAAAAUCUGAAGAAAAGAGUUUGGAUAAUGUUCAGACUUCAUCAGCAGAUGCUAGCACAUCAGUGGAUACACCCUGCAAAUCAUUUCAAGGUAAUGACAAUACAAUCCUGUCUCCAAGGAGAAUGUACACAGUGACUCUUCCUCCAGAGGGUUACGUUGCAGUUACUCCAGAUGCUACUAGUAUUUCAGUUUCUGGAACCUCAGAUGCUAGUGCUGACUCAACAGAGGAGGAAUAUCAAGGGGAAACCAAGAGAAAGCGCAUUCGAAGGAAGAAACAAAAGAACAGUUUGCAAAACUCUAAUAAUUUACAUGGAGAACAAGCAGAGUCUGGAAUGCAAGAGACUCUUGUUCAAGAUAAUUUACAGCUGCAGCAGACAGACAGUCCCAAAAUAAGCAAAAACAAAAAGAGGAAAAUGAAAAAGAAGCGUCAGAAAGAAAAAAUGAGAGCAGCUGGCUUGGUAACAAAAACUGCUGGUGUGGAUUUUACAUAUCAGCCUGACAAAAACAACAGAGAAGAAGCAGCAGGCUUGAAAGACAUAGAUGAAAAGGCAGAUAGCAUCCUGGACUUCCUGCAGGCAACACAACAAAUUUAUUUUGCUGACAAUAAAUCAGAAGGCACAGAUCCUGCUGUAAAUUCAACAACUGCCCAGGAGCUUUUACAGAAUCUUGAAUCUCGCACCAUCUCUCCCUCAGAUGUGACUCUCCUGCAUCAGCUGAAAUCCCUUGUAUUGCUACAGGAUAUUGAGAGAUUGAAGGAUGCUUUGAAACAAUUCCAAGAACAAUCCAUGAUGCCUCCUGAUCAUACCAAGAUAGCCACGUCUCUGUUCCACUACUGGAUCACAGAUAUCCUUCCUGUGAAGAACAGGAAAUAAAGCCUUGCCUGUGUCCAUAUGUGCAGGGUUAAAAUUUAAUACACAAACUCUAAAUCAAGUAGCAAUUGUUCAGGAAGAGCAGUGUCAAUACAUUUUCUACACCUUCAGGGACAGAACUGUAGCUGUGACUUUUCACUGAGAUGCUGUGCCUCAGACCCAGAUCUGGAGAAUGAAGAAAAUAUCACUUGAAUGUGAAGCACGUAGAUACUCUAUUGACAGACACCACAGAAAAUUAGUCGCUUCAUCCUCAGAUUAAGGUUUGAAUGUUGUGCGGUAAAUGAGGCCUAGGAACCACACAAAAAAGAUAUACAGCAACUCAUUAGUAGUGAUUUGAUGCAGGGUUUGGCCUGCUGCACAGCACCCAGCCCAGCGAACUUCUGUUACAGCUGAGGUGCCAGUGUGCUAGAGGAAAGUAAUAGACUUAACUACAAUCAAGAAUAUGCUAGAACGGGGGCUGAAAUUCUACGAAGACUCAGAAAUCAUGGUUAUUCCUCUCCGGAGAAUGACGCCUGGGUAUAUAAGGUUGUUGCAG